rnacentral:rRNA from 1 species
UACGUAGGGGGCAAGCGUUGUCCGGAUUUAUUGGGCGUAAAGAGCGUGUAGGCGGCCCGGUAAGUCCGCUGUAAAAGUCAAAGGCUCAACCUUUGAAUGUCAGUGGAUACUGCCGGGCUAGAGUCCGGAAGAGGCGAGUGGAACUCCUGGUGUAGCGGUGGAAUGCGCAGAUAUCAGGAGGAACACCGGUGGCGAAGGCGGGUCUCUGGGCCGAUAUCGACGCUGAGGAGCGAAAGCGUGGGGAGCGAACAGG